CACACACUCCCCACCCCCAAACUACCCUGAACAUGCUUAUCUUUACAUUGGUGUGAAUAUAGGGGGCAGCACACACACACACUGAAGUGUGUGGCUAGGAACUAGCGCAAUGCAUUUGCUAACUGACUCAGACUGUCAGCCUGCAACCUAUGUGAAGGCCAAUACUGUAGUCCUUAUCUUCAAAUCUUCUUUUCUUUUUAUUAGAAAUCUUCUUUUAAAGUACAGUCCCAUCGGAAUAACUUGCAUUUUAAGCCAGAGCCAGAGAGGAGUCAAGUCUGUGUUUAGUUGCUCGCAGAACGUUUACACUAUUUUGAAAAACUGAAAACCAUCUGAUUGUAUCGGACGUUUAUCCUAAACAGUGGAUGUUCAUCUCGUUUCCAGGCUGCUUCCUCCGAGACACCUGCAGCUCUUUAACAACAGCAACAACUUGCAUUUAUAUAGCGCCCUUCAUGCCAGGCAUUGUCUCGGAGCGCUUAGCUGUGAGCUGGUUUUUCCUCCACCCGUCACCUGCAAACAUCUCAUCUGGAAUUGAGAACUCAGUUUGGGUGGGGAGACAAAGGAAAUGGUGAGAAAUCGUGAACCGGAGAGUUGACACCUAUGGGCCAUUUGCUGAGUUUCCAAUGAGGCUGUAUUUGAAAGGUCAUCGUUCAACUUAAAAAAAAACCUGAGGAAUGUUGUCCUAUAUUCACAACUCAUUUACAAGCGCAUUUGUGAAGUCUUGAGUAUUUUUGGCAUUUGUGCAUGGAAAUGUGGACAAAGGUUUUACUGACCUUUUUUAUGAAUGUAGACCAGAGGCUCUCAUACUCAUCUCGUUCCCCAGCCCCUUGUAUAAAACCGAUCCCAAGAAGCCCUUUCCUGCCUGUGUAAUGCCUCAUUAACUCAUUUACUCUGCAUGUGAAUGUUGCUUUUGUUAUGGGACCCAUGUCAUGUGAAAUCCAAUCAUGUGUUGAUCCUCAAAUCAUUGAAUUGGAGUGUUACACUUAAAAUAAAAUGAAUAAACCACCUCCUCAAA